rnacentral:rRNA from 1 species
UACGUAGGGAGCAAGCGUUGUCCGGAAUCAUUGGGCGUAAAGCGCACGUAGGCGGCUUGGCAAGUCGGAUGUGAAAUCCCUCGGCUCAACCAAGGAAGUGCAUCCGAAACUGCCGAGCUUGAGUACUUAAGAGGAUCGCGGAAUUCCCGGUGUAGAGGUGAAACUCGUAGAUAUCGGGAGGAACACCAGUGGCGAAGGCGGCGAUCUGGGAAGAUACUGACGCUGAGGUGCGAAAGCGUGGGGAGCAAACAGG